rnacentral:rRNA from 1 species
AGCAGCCGCGGUAAUUCCAGCUCCAAUGGCGUAUAUUAAAGUUGUUGCAGUUAAAAAGCUCGUAGUUGAAUUUUGGGUCUGGCCGGGCGGUCCGCCCUCUGGGUGAGCACUGUUCCGACGUCGGGCCUAUCCUUCUGGUGAGUCGGCAUGUCCUUUAUUGGGUGUGUCGGGGAACCAGGACCACUACCUUGAAAAAUUAGAGUGUUCAAAGCAGGCGUAUGCUCGGAUACAUUAGCAUGGAAUAAUGAAAUAGGACGCGUGGUGCUAUUUUGUUGGUUUCUAGAACCGCCGUAAUGAUUAAUAGGGAUAGUUGGGGGCAUUAGUAUUCAAUUGUCAGAGGUGAAAUUCUUGGAUUUAUUGAAGACUAACUUCUGCGAAAGCAUUUGCCAAGGAUGUUUUCAUUAAUCAAGAACGAAAGUUAGGGGAUCGAAGACGAUCAGAUACCGUCGUAGUCUUAACCAUAAACUAUGCCGACUAGGAAUCGGGC